CCCUUAGAUGUCCUGGGCCGCACGCGUGCUACACUGACGCCUACAGCGAGUACUUCCCAGCCCCGAGAGGUGGCUGGUAAUCAGCAAUAGGCGUCGUGAUGGGGAUAGAUCUUUGGAAUUAUGGAUCUUGAACGAGGAAUGCCUAGUAAGUGCAGGUCAUUAGCCUGCGCUGAUUAAGUCCCUGCCCUUUGUACACACCGCCCGUCGCUCCUACCGAUUUCGAGUGGUCCGGUGAAUCUUUCGGACUGCGCGCGGCCUCGUGCCGUGUCGCGGAAAGUCAGGUAAACCUUAUCACUUAGAGGAAGGAGAAGUCGUAACA
rnacentral:rRNA from 1 species